GACGAACGCUGGCGGCGUGCUUAACACAUGCAAGUCGAACGGAAAGGCCCUGCUUUUGUGGGGUGCGCGAGUGGCGAGAGGGGGAGUGACACGCGUGUAACCUGCCCUUGACAUUGGGGGAACUUCAGGGGACUGGAGCGAAUACCGGAUAUAAGCUCCUUCUGCAUGGGGGGGGUUGGAAAGUUACGGCGUUGUGGCAAGGAAUUGAGGCCUAUCAUCGUAUUGGUGGGGUAGUGGCUUACCACGGCUUUGACGGGUAGCCGGCCUGGGAGGGUGACCGGCCACAUUGGGCCAGGGGUAGGGCCCGGACGCCUUCGGGAGGCAGCAGUGGGGAACUUUGCACGAUGGGCGGAAGCCGGGUGGAGCAAUGUCGCGUGCGGGAUGACGGCCUUUGGGGUGGAACCUGCUUGCGACUGUGAAGAAGAGUGAGUGACGGUAAUGGGUAAGGAAGCAACGGCUAACUACGUG
rnacentral:rRNA from 1 species